AUACGGAGGUUCCGAGCGUUAAUCGGAAUUACUGGGCGUAAAGCGCGCGUAGGCGGCUAUAUAAGUCAGAUGUGAAAUCCCUGGGCUCAACCUAGGAACUGCAUUUGAAACUGUAUGGCUAGAGUAUGGUAGAGGUGAGUGGAAUUUCAGGUGUAGCGGUGAAAUGCGUAGAGAUCUGAAGGAACAUCAGUGGCGAAGGCGACUCACUGGGCCAUUACUGACGCUGAGGUGCGAAAGCGUGGGUAGCAAACAGGAUUAGAAACCCUAGUAGUCC
rnacentral:rRNA from 1 species